GCAUAUCAAUAAGCGGAGGAAAAGAAACCAACAGGGAUUGCCUCAGUAACGGCGAGUGAAGCGGCAAGAGCUCAAAUUUGAAAUCUGGCCCCUUCGGGGUCCGAGUUGUAAUUUGUAGAGGAUGCUUCGGGUGCGGCCCCCGUCUAAGUGCUCUGGAACGGGCCAUCGGAGAGGGUGAGAAUCCCGUCUGGGACGGGGUGUCCGCGUCCAUGUGAAGCUCCUUCGACGAGUCGAGUUGUUUGGGAAUGCAGCUCUAAAUGGGUGGUAAAUUUCAUCUAAAGCUAAAUACUGGCCGGAGACCGAUAGCGCACAAGUAGAGUGAUCGAAAGAUGAAAAGCACUUUGAAAAGAGAGUUAAACAGCACGUGAAAUUGUUGAAAGGGAAGCGCUUGCGACCAGACUCGCUUCCGGGGUUCAGCCGGCUUUCGGGCCGGUGUACUUCCCCGGGGGCGGGCCAGCGUCGGUUUGGGCGGCCGGUCAAAGGCCCCUGGAAUGUAACGCCCCUCGGGGCGCCUUAUAGCCAGGGGUGUCAUGCGGCCAGCCUGGACCGAGGAACGCGCUUCGGCACGGACGCUGGCAUAAUGGUCGUAAACGACCCGUCUUGAAACACGGACCAAGGAGUCUAACAUCUACGCGAGUGUUCGGGUGUCAAACCCGUGCGCGCAGUGAAAGCGAACGGAGGUGGGAGCCCCCUCGAGGGGCGCACCAUCGACCGAUCCUGAUGUCUUCGGAUGGAUUUGAGUAAGAGCGUAGCUGUGGGGACCCGAAAGAUGGUGAACUAUGCCUGAAUAGGGCGAAGCCAGAGGAAACUCUGGUGGAGGCUCGCAGCGGUUCUGACGUGCAAAUCGAUCGUCAAAUUUGGGUAUAGGGGCGAAAGACUAAUCGAACCAUCUGGUAGCUGGUUCCUGCCGAG
rnacentral:rRNA from 1 species